UGACUUUGGGUCUUGGAUCAAACACAUCGACAUCCAAUGUUUCAUAUCUCACCUUGAAUACGUACAUGUGGCCGGGGUACAUUUAUUCUUGACUUGAUUUUUACGUAUUGACUGUAUUUGGAACUAUUUACUGCAUUUGAUUUUGAAAAUUUGUUCAUUAUUUUGCCUCUUACAUCUAUUGCAAAACAGAAGGCUCAAUGGUUCCAACAAAAAAAACGAAUACGAACUACUGCCAAGGGAAAGGAAAAUGCACCGGAUCGACAUCCUCUACAAAGAAAUGUUGGAAUUGUGGUACGUGACGAGCAAAACGUCAAUGACAUCCGUAUCAAUGAGGCAAAACAAAUGUCAAACAAAGGAAAAGAAAAGGCAACCUAUGCCAUGGAAAAUGCAAAUGUACGGAUUCAACCUCUUCGCGACAAAAAUAUUGGAAUAGUAAUCCGUGAUGAGCGGGACCACAAUGUCAUCCAUGUGGGGAAUGGAAAUCAAAAUUCAAGGGUAUCUUUUGUCUUUCUUUUGGUAGUUUUAAAAAUUAUCCAGAAUCAAAUAGCAAACUCUGAAGUAUCUCCUAUGAGUCUAAUCUAACAACGUUGUGCAAAUAGUUUAGUUUUUGAAGUGCAUUACGUGUUUGUAAUUAAAAAAAAAUUCGGUUUUAGGCCCAAUCUAGUAAUAUGUUAUCAAAAACUACAUUGGCGCAACGUGCACAUCGAGAACAAGAAAUAAAUUUAAAAUAGAGCGCUGUACAAUUGGGCCAAAGCUUGCCAGGAAAUAAUGACCAUUCUGGUGAUUCACAGGUAUUUUCUAUCUGUCUUUUUGUAUUUUCAUGCAAUUUUCUAGCUUUCUUUUUGCCAUUUUAAUUUUUAGAAUACGUUUUUCUAUAUAAAUAGUUUGCAUGAAUUUGUGGGAAAUAGGAAUUCGCAUGAUCCUAAUGUUCAUUAGGUUCUUAAAGUUGAAGCAUUGAGCAGCCCCUCCAGAUGAGAAUAAUCAUUUACCAAACCACAUGUUUUCUGUCAAAUAUUUUCACGUUUGAUAUUCCCUUUUAGGCACCCAUUGCUAAUGGUAAUAUUUUCACGCUUUAUUUUACGUACGGAAGUAAUUAAGUUGGUGCUUUGAAGAAGAUGAAGGAGGAAUCUUCAUUGUACGAAUGGUUUUUCUUCUUGAAUGACAAUUUUGCAUUUUCUUGGGUUUAAGCAGUUUUAUUGUGA